rnacentral:rRNA from 1 species
UAGCAUAUCACUAAGCGCAGGAGAAGAAACUAACGAGGAUUUCCCUAGUAACGGCGAGCGAACCGGAAAGAGCCCAGCUUGAAAAUCGAGGCGCCUUGGGUGCCUCGAGUUGUGGUCUGGAGAAGGUCCCUCUGCGGCGCGCCGGACCCAAGUUCCCUGGAAAGGGACGUCGGAGAGGGUGACAACCCCGUCGAGUCCGGGCCGCGUCGCUCCACGAGGACCUGUCUGCGAGUCGGGCUGUUUGGGAAUGCAGCCCUAAGUGGGUGGUAAAUUCCAUCCAAGGCUAAAUAUGGGCAAGAGACCGAUAGCGAACAAGUACCGCGAGGGAAAGAUGAAAAGGACUUUGAAAAGAGAGUUAAAAAGUGCUUGAAAUUGCUGGGAGGGAAGCGAAUGGAAGCUGCGGGUGCGGCCCGGUUGGAUGCGGAACGGCUGCGCGCUGGUCCGCCGCUCAACGCGGGUCGCUGGUCAGCGUGGGCCGUCGCGGCGGGACAAGAGCGGGGAUUCGCUUCCCGCCUAUGCCGCCGCGGUGGCCGAGGGAACGAAGCGCGCGCCGCAAGGCGUGGGGGUGCGCCCCCAACUGCGCGCUCGAGACGCUGGCGUAUUGAGCUCUUCAUCCGACCCGUCUUGAAACACGGACCAAGGAGUCUAACAUGUAUGCGAGCCGGUGGGCGGCAAACCCAUUUCGAGGCGCAAGUAACCUGACAGGUGGGACCCCUUAGUCGGGAGCACCAUCGACCGACCGUGAUCUUCUGUGAAGGGUUC